GAUGAAGAAUGCAGCGAAAUGCGAUAAGUAGUGUGAAUUGCAGAAUUCAGUGAAUCAUCGAAUCUUUGAACGCACAUUGCGCCCCUUGGUAUCCCGAGGGGCAUGCCUGUUCGAGCGUCAUUUCACCACUCAAGCCUGGCUUGGUGUUGGGCGACGUCCUCUUUGGGGACGCGCCUCGAAACGCUCGGCGGCGUGGCACCGGCUUUAAGCGUAGCAGAAUCUUUCGCUUUGGAAGUCGGGGCCCCGUCUGCCGGAAGACCUGCUCGCAAGGUUGACCUCGGAUCAGGCAGGGAUACCCGCUGAACUUAAGCAUAUCAAUAAGCGGAGGA
rnacentral:misc_RNA from 1 species